UAUUAGGUUGGUGCAAAAGUAAUUGCAGUUUUUGUCAUUAUUUUUACCUGGCAAAAACUGCAAUUAUUUUUGCACCAACCUAAUA
ensembl:miRNA